GCGGGCGUGGCGGAAUUGGUAGACGCGCUGGGUUUAGGUUCCAGUGACGAAAGUUGUGGGGGUUCGAGUCCCUCCGCCCGCACCA
rnacentral:tRNA from 1 species